UACGAAGGGUGCUAGCGUUAUUCGGAAUCAUUGGGCGUAAAGGGUGCGCAGGCGGUUUGUUAAGUCAGUUGUUAAAUUCUUCGGCCUAACCGAAGGUCAGCAGCAGAUACUGGCAAGCUUGAGUAUGGAAGAGAGAAGUGGAAUUCUCGGAGUAGCGGUAAAAUGCGUAGAUCUCGAGAGGAACACCAAUGGCGAAGGCAGCUUCUUGGUCCAUAACUGACGCUCAUGCACGAAAGCGUGGGGAGCAAACAGG
rnacentral:rRNA from 1 species